CAAAAGGCUUUUUUAUGGAUUGUUGUAAUGUUUAAAAGCCAUCAAUUAAAAAUAAAUACUAUUU
rfam:Opisthocomus hoazin contig96721, whole genome shotgun sequence.